GACGAACCGUGCGAACGUUGUUCGGAAUCACUGGGCUUAAAGGGCGCGUAGGCGGCAGGCGAGGUCGGGGGUGAAAUCCCACAGCUUAACUGGGGAACUGCGUCUGAUACUGGAUGGCUUGGAUUCGGGAGAGGAAUGCGGAAUUCCGGGUGUAGCGGUGGAAUGCGUAGAGAUCCGGAAGAACACCGGUGGCGAAGGCGGCCUGCUGGGCAGUUAGCUGACACUGAGGCGCGACAGCGUGGGGAGCAACAGG
rnacentral:rRNA from 1 species